CCUUAAGCAGCUCCAUGAGCGCUGGUCUUUUAAGCCAGAGGUGGGACUACAAGCCCCUUAAGGC
rnacentral:tRNA from 1 species